rnacentral:rRNA from 1 species
CAGUCGCCGCGGUAAUACGUAGGGUGCAAGCGUUAAUCGGAAUUACUGGGCGUAAAGCGUGCGUAGGCGGUUAUUCAAGACAGAUGUGAAAUCCCCGGGCUCAACCUGGGAACUGCAUUUGUGACUGGAUGACUAGAGUACGGCAGAGGGGGAUGGAAUUCCGCGUGUAGCAGUGAAAUGCGUAGAUAUGCGGAGGAACACCGAUGGCGAAGGCAAUCCCCUGGGCCUGUACUGACGCUCAUGCACGAAAGCGUGGGGAGCAAACAGGAUUAGAUACCCCAGUAGUCCCUGUCUCUUAUAC